rnacentral:snRNA from 1 species
CAGCUCAGGCCCGGUCUCAAAGCGAGCUAACCCUUCGCCUUUUACUAAAGGUUACCGUGCGAACGGGCCACUAUGGGCCUUUAGGCCAAUUUUUGGAUGGCCCUGAUCGUUUGACCGGGGCC